AGAACAUGCUACAUAUGUUAUUGUUUCUCCAGAGUCUCCCCUCAACCCCUUUUCUCAUGGAGCUGAGCGCCUGAUCUGUGGAGUUAGAGGGGAAGAUAAUGACAUAGUCAUUUUUUCCAGUGGCUCCCUUUCUGAUCAAAUUAGGUCCCAUCAGCACUAUGCAGAGAAGACCACGUAUGCCUCAUAGGGCUUAAGCCUCCAUCUUUUGAAUCUUCUGUACCAUCUUGGUAUAAUCCAAUAUCUCAGACCUCAAUCAACAGUUCUUAACCCAGUUCUACAUGGUCUUAUUGAAACUUACAGCUUCUAGAUGAUUGGAUGUUACUGCAACACACAGACUCCCCAUAAAUGCACUGUCUGAAGUUUGUUCCUCUAAAACCAGUGGUGAACACCAGCAAAGUGACUUGGAAGUGCAUUAGAAAUAAAGGUAAUCCAUAGCAAUGAUGUCAGGAGGUGAAGUCUGCCCCCCACCGUCCACCAAUGGUAAUCAACAAAGCUUCCACAGUUUCUGAUAGCUGAGCUCUGUUUUCA